ACAGGCUUGGUACAUAAGCUGGAAGCCAGCAUAGAAACACUUCAUGGACUGAACCUUGAAAUCCAUUGUCUUCAUUGAUGUAAAAGAGGCUUUUUCUAAGACAGUAAACCUUGACUCCAGAUAUUCUUUGAAGAACACCACAAACAGCAACCUGAAAUUGAAAAAAAUAACACAGCCACUGCAACAUCAGGCAGCAACCACAGCUUCAAAAAUACUGCUGGAGUAAACCACCACUGUGUGCAGAGUAAUUUCCCAGUGCCUGCCUUCCACUGGAGAUUUCAACCAGGUGCCAGGAAUCAACAAUGCUUCAUGAAAAACAUGUGUGUGCUGGAGAUCAGCAACAGGACUUAAAGCUAUAAUCUCUUGCAACACAGUAACAAAGAGAAUCACAGAUUUGGAUAUCAAAUCCUAUGGAGAAUUCCCUCCUGCCCCUCUCCAAACCACAAUGAGUGUUCCAUGUCAGCUUUACUAACUUAUAUCUAGCAACAUUUAUCUGACCCAAGCACCAAAGAAGACUCUCUCCAAAGCAUCCAGUUCCAUCACAAGAUUAAUCCACGAGUCAGAUCCUCAUCUGCCAUUAUUCCGUAAUUUCAAAAGUGAGAGGUACAAGCCCUCAUUCCACACCUCCCAAGCUAAACUCAGUAUUUUAAGUGAUUUGAUUACUUUAGCUUUUUGCAGCUAAUGAUGUUUUCCACCA